AUGCUAACACAGUAAUUUUGCUUUCUCCAUCUCUUCCUUUUAAGUUUCCUCCGUAGCUUCCCCGGGAGUAAGGAGGCUCAGAGGGUUGGGGUCAGACAAGCUGAGCAAAACCCAGGUGCCCCUGAAUCUCCUUGAGCCUCAAUUUCCUCGUCCGUAAAAUGGGGGCGUCCUUUCCAGGAGGUGUGGCGGAGCCAGAGGAGGCUGUGCUCGCCUCCAGCAGGUGCCGGACGCCUCUGCUUCCUCUCUGUGUGCGUCUCUGCCCCUGUCUCCUUGUCUCUCUCUGUCUGUGUCUGUCUCUGUCUCUGCUUCCCCCCCCACCCAGCAGUCAUGCCCCGGCUACCUGGCCUCGACGCUAAGCCCUGGACGUCCAGAAGACGCACAUAGGAGCCCCUGCAGUGCCCUUCUUGAGCCACUCCUGGUUCAGGGUAGCGUUUGAACCUGCCCUUGGCCCGAGAGGCAGAAGGCCCAGGGGGCUGACGGGAAACGGAGGGGACGGCCGGCUUCUCUGCAGGAGUUGGAACUUGAGACAGACAGGCAGCUGGCAGCUGAAGCCAGAGCCAGAAGACACACAGAGGACAGUCCUUGGCUCUCCCAGGAUCGCGUCUCCUUCAAAGUGGCCGCACGACGAACUAGCUUGACGAGCUAAUCCCCAAACCGGAAAGAAAUGAGGCGCCAUUGAAAGCAGUCAGGCAGAUGUCACCUAGAUGAUGGCUCUCCCUCUCCUCUGCCCAGAAGGCUGAUGUGGAAACUGAGGCACAGACAGGGCAGCACCAGGAGUCUCACCCUGCGUUCUCACUCCAGAGCCUGAACUCCUAACAACCGCUGUCCUUCGCGGUUUUCAGGGAGCUGUCGGAAGCUAAGAGAUCUGUAACACUUUGGGCUUUGGGGUCAGAUGCGAUCUCUUCUCCUCUCCAGCUACCGUGAAGGUGGGGAAGGAUUGAACCUCUCUGAGUCCCAGGCUCCUCAUCUGUGUGACAAAGCAGGGCUCCUGCAGGAUUAAAUGGCCUGAGUUCUGUUACAGAAGACGCGGCCCCCCUGGUCAGAGCCGAGCCUCCAGGCUGAGAGGGGCCGGUGAGGGCGGAGUCUGAGGACUGUUCCCUGGGCAGCAGUUUUCCUUUGUCCCCUCGGUUGCCGCCCUCCUACCUCUACCCCACGGGGCGCUUUCUGACGGUUCUGGCAGCCCUCCUGCCUACGCUCUUCUGUCCAGGGUGACUCCUCAGCUUGUGUCUGCUGGCUCCCAGUGUGGCUUCAUGUUCAUGACAUAGAAUCACAGAGUCCCCUCAAAACCCGUGUUCUCGAAGGAGCGGAGGGUCGGAGGGCUGAAGUGGUCUGUCCCGUGUCGCAGGCUGUGCA